CCUACGGGGGGCAGCAGUAGGGAAUCUUCCGCAAUGGACGAAAGUCUGACGGAGCGACGCCGCGUGAGCGAAGAAGGUCUUCGGAUCGUAAAGCUCUGUUGUUAGGGAAGAAGAAGUACCGUUCGAAUAGGGCGGUACGGUGACGGUACCUAACGAGAAAGCCCCGGCUAACUACGUGCCAGCAGCCGCGGUAAUACGUAGGGGGCGAGCGUUGUCCGGAAUUAUUGGGCGUAAAGCGCGCGCAGGCGGUCCCUUAAGUCUGAUGUGAAAGCCCACGGCUCAACCGUGGAGGGUCAUUGGAAACUGGGGGACUUGAGUGCAGAAGAGGAGAGCGGAAUUCCACGUGUAGCGGUGAAAUGCGUAGAGAUGUGGAGGAACACCAGUGGCGAAGGCGGCUCUCUGGUCUGUAACUGACGCUGAGGCGCGAAAGC
rnacentral:rRNA from 1 species